rnacentral:rRNA from 5 species
UGCAGAAUCCCGUGAACCAUCGAGUUUUUGAACGCAAGUUGCGCCCGAAGCCAUUCGGCCGAGGGCACGUCUGCCUGGGCGUCA